UUACCAAGAUCUCUUACAAUCUAACACACAUCUAAUAUCUAAAAUUUGAAGUAUUGGCUGGUUACAGGUAAAAAUUGUGUUGUGAAGUCAUUCAUGAUUUUCUUCCUUUUCUCAUCAGAAAAUCCUUUAUCCAAAGAAUGUGAUUAAUAUCACUAUGAAACAUAUCAGUUCAAAUUCUCAUUUUCUUCCUCUGUAAAAUGAAGAAAACAACAUUCACUUUAGAUUUUUAAAAGAAGAUUGAAUGAACUCAGAUUUUCCCAAUGUGUUAUAAAUUGCCAGAACAAACCUGAGAAUGUUUUCUCCGGUUCCUGAUUGGACCAGAUAAAGCACUUGCCUAGAACAACCUGAGGCAUACAAAGGGGUGAACCUAACACAUGUAUUUUCUCCAUAAGGCACUUCAGAGUCUUCUUGCACUCAGGAACACCAGGCAGCACUUCAGUCCUAUGCCUGGAAGCCAUCUUAAACGUUACAAGCAAAAAGCACAAAAUGCCAAAAACAUGACACUAAAUGGACCAUGAGAAGGAUAGACAGUUAUUUAAAUUAUGGGACCUGAAACAAAGUGGCGGAGGGUUACCUUGUUCAAGCUCAGUUGGGAACCUUCCCAUUAGGUGACACAACUCUGUUGCCACUUUUCACAUGUCCUCAAAUGACUGUGAAUGCACUGAGAUUAUGGAUUUGGGGGUUAUGCAUAAAUUUAGUGAGUAGGUGAAUUUGACAAUAUGAAAUCCAUUAAUAAUGAGGUUAGAUUGUACCUGCUGCAUGUUAUACGGGAAAAGAGUUAUAUGGAAGAGCAGGAUUUCAACAGUAAUAAUAAUGGAUUAUUUUUCAAGGACGUUGUCAAAUGAACCUUUUUAAUACAAAUGGCAUUUUCACUGAUGUUAAUGUGAACAGUGGCUCAAAGGAACCUAACCCAGUAUUUCCCCUUGGAGCAGUAAUUAGUAUUCACUAAUUUAUUGUUUGUAGUAACUUUAUAGAAUAUGCUACUGUGAAUAAUAAGAAAUGACUACAUAGUCACCAAGACAACAACAAUGAUAAUAUUGGAUUAUUUGCUAAGAACUUUCUAAUCCUGUACUAAGCACAGGACUAAGCAUUGUACAAACAUUUUACAGCAGACAAUUGAGGAAUCUGUAUUAUUCAUAUUUUAUAGAAGAUGAAAUUAUAAUUCAGUAAAUUUAAAGAUCUAGUGUAAACAAAGAACUGAAUUGUAAAUACAGAGCUUUCUGAUUAUGAAGCUAAUGAUCUUUCUGCUAAUCUACAAUGUCCAACUUUAAUAAUGAGCUUGAUUGAGUAUGUAUUGUAUGUUAGACCUGCUUGUAAAGUCAAUGAAAUGAUUUGAUUUUCACUGUCAAAAUUCCCAAGCAUAAAUGCAGCAAUUGGGAGGAAAUCUCUCAUCUAUCAACAAGUUAUUGUUUCUGGCAAUUUUUACCAAAGAGAUAAAUCCACUACUCUUCCAACUCUUGUCUUUCUUUAUCUGUUAUUGUUUUAUCAGUUAUACUGUGGGCACGGUAAUGUAUAUUCCAGAACACUUCAUUUAUUUGGACAUACCAUAUGAUCUGUUGACUGAGAUUAUUCUAAUUUGCUAAAACGAUUAUAUUCAUAAAAAGUGCUAUAGCAAGUAACCAUAAUACUGAUUUUGAAUUGCAUAAUUAUGAGAAUAGAAGUUUUCAGAACUAGAGUUAGGUUUUUUCUAUCAUUG
rnacentral:lncRNA from 1 species